AUUGAUUUGGCAGAAGGUUUAUGCGUUAAAUUUAGAAUUUAAGGAUGUUUUUUGUUUAACAAUCAAUA
rnacentral:tRNA from 1 species